rnacentral:rRNA from 1 species
GAUGAACGCUGGCGGCGUGCCUAAUACAUGCAAGUCGAGCGAACAGAUGAGGAGCUUGCUCCCCUGACGUUAGCGGCGGACGGGCGAGUAACACGUGGAUAACCUACUUAUAAGACUGGGAUAACUUCGGGAAACCGGAGCUAAUACCGCAUAAUAUAUUGAACCGCAUGGUUCAAUAGUGAAAGACGGCUUUGCUGUCACUUAUAGAUGGAUCCGCGCCGCAUUAGCUAGUUGGUAAGGUAACGGCUUACCAAGGCAACGAUGCGUAGCCGACCUGAGAGGGUGAUCGGCCACACUGGAACUGAGACACGGUCCAGACUCCUACGGGAGGCAGCAGUAGGGAAUAUUCGGCAAUGGGCGAAAGCCUGACGGAGCAACACCGCGUGAGUGAUGAAGGUCUUCGGAUCGUAAAGCUCUGUUAUUGGGAAAGAACAACUGUGUAUGUAACUAUGCACGUCUUGACGGUACCUAAUCAGAAAGCAACGGCUAACUACGUG